rnacentral:misc_RNA from 1 species
GGGGAAAAAUUUUUACUAAAAAAAACAUAUUAUUAGAAUAUUAUUCCUGUGGACUGAAAUUAAAAAUUGAAAGAAAAUUCAGUGCAUGUUUAUGAAACUCCUAACACACCAAAAAGCUUCAUUUAAAGAUGCUAUUUCCCUUCACUUCUAAAAAUUUGCAAUUUCCCUUCACUUCUAAAACUUUGCAAAAGAACCAUGCCAAAUGAAAAGACAAAGCUUUCUCUCUAAGCCAGUAGAAGUUACCUUAUUUAACCAUGCAGCAAACCA